AGAGUUUGAUCCUGGCUCAGGACGAACGCUGGCGGCGUGCCUAAUACAUGCAAGUCGAACGAACUCUGGCAUUGAUUGGUGCUUGCAUCAUGAUUUACAUUUGAGUGAGUGGCGAACUGGUGAGUAACACGUGGGAAACCUGCCCAGAAGCGGGGGAUAACACCUGGAAACAGAUGCUAAUACCGCAUAACAACUUGGACCGCAUGGUCCGAGCUUGAAAGAUGGCUUCGGCUAUCACUUUUGGAUGGUCCCGCGGCGUAUUAGCUAGAUGGUGGGGUAACGGCUCACCAUGGCAAUGAUACGUAGCCGACCUGAGAGGGUAAUCGGCCACAUUGGGACUGAGACACGGCCCAAACUCCUACGGGAGGCAGCAGUAGGGAAUCUUCCACAAUGGACGAAAGUCUGAUGGAGCAACGCCGCGUGAGUGAAGAAGGGUUUCGGCUCGUAAAACUCUGUUGUUAAAGAAGAACAUAUCUGAGAGUAACUGUUCAGGUAUUGACGGUAUUUAACCAGAAAGCCACGGCUAACUACGUGCCAGCAGCCGCGGUAAUACGUAGGUGGCAAGCGUUGUCCGGAUUUAUUGGGCGUAAAGCGAGCGCAGGCGGUUUUUUAAGUCUGAUGUGAAAGCCUUCGGCUCAACCGAAGAAGUGCAUCGGAAACUGGGAAACUUGAGUGCAGAAGAGGACAGUGGAACUCCAUGUGUAGCGGUGAAAUGCGUAGAUAUAUGGAAGAACACCAGUGGCGAAGGCGGCUGUCUGGUCUGUAACUGACGCUGAGGCUCGAAAGUAUGGGUAGCAAACAGGAUUAGAUACCCUGGUAGUCCAUACCGUAAACGAUGAAUGCUAAGUGUUGGAGGGUUUCCGCCCUUCAGUGCUGCAGCUAACGCAUUAAGCAUUCCGCCUGGGGAGUACGGCCGCAAGGCUGAAACUCAAAGGAAUUGACGGGGGCCCGCACAAGCGGUGGAGCAUGUGGUUUAAUUCGAAGCUACGCGAAGAACCUUACCAGGUCUUGACAUACUAUGCAAAUCUAAGAGAUUAGACGUUCCCUUCGGGGACAUGGAUACAGGUGGUGCAUGGUUGUCGUCAGCUCGUGUCGUGAGAUGUUGGGUUAAGUCCCGCAACGAGCGCAACCCUUAUUAUCAGUUGCCAGCAUUAAGUUGGGCACUCUGGUGAGACUGCCGGUGACAAACCGGAGGAAGGUGGGGAUGACGUCAAAUCAUCAUGCCCCUUAUGACCUGGGCUACACACGUGCUACAAUGGAUGGUACAACGAGUUGCGAACUCGCGAGAGUAAGCUAAUCUCUUAAAGCCAUUCUCAGUUCGGAUUGUAGGCUGCAACUCGCCUACAUGAAGUCGGAAUCGCUAGUAAUCGCGGAUCAGCAUGCCGCGGUGAAUACGUUCCCGGGCCUUGUACACACCGCCCGUCACACCAUGAGAGUUUGUAACACCCAAAGUCGGUGGGGUAACCUUUUAGGAACCAGCCGCCUAAGGUGGGACAGAUGAUUAGGGUGAAGUCGUAACAAGGUAGCCGUAGGAGAACCUGCGGCUG
rnacentral:rRNA from 1 species